UGGGGAAUAUUGGGCAAUGGGCGCAAGCCUGACCCAGCAACGCCGCGUGAGGGAAGAAGGUCUUCGGAUUGUAAACCUCUGUCCUUGGGGACGAAAAAAAUGACGGUACCCAAGGAGGAAGCUCCGGCUAACUACGUGCCAGCAGCCGCGGUAAUACGUAGGGAGCGAGCGUUGUCCGGAAUUACUGGGCGUAAAGGGUGCGUAGGCGGUCAGGCAAGUCAGAUGUGAAAUCCCCGGGCUUAACUCGGGUGGUGCAUUUGAGACUGCUUGACUUGAGUGCAGGAGAGGAAAGCGGAAUUCCUAGUGUAGCGGUGAAAUGCGUAGAUAUAGGAGGAACAUCGAGUGGCGAAGGCGGCUUUCUGGACUGUAACUGACGCUGAGGCACGAAAGCGUGGGGAG
rnacentral:rRNA from 1 species